rnacentral:rRNA from 1 species
CAGCACCUCAAGUGGUCAGGAUGAUUAUUGGGCCUAAAGCAUCCGUAGCCGGCUCUGUAAGUUUUCGGUUAAAUCUGUACGCUCAACGUACAGGCUGCCGGGAAUACUGCAGCGCUAGGGAGUGGGAGAGGUAGACGGUACUCGGUAGGAAGGGGUAAAAUCCUUUGAUCUAUUGAUGACCACCUGUGGCGAAGGCGGUCUACCAGAACACGUCCGACGGUGAGGGAUGAAAGCUGGGGGAGCAAACCGGAUUAGAGACCCAAGUAGUCC